GAUUUCUGGUUUAAUGCACCUGUAUCGGCUUGUGAGUGCCGGCGCGCGUUUACCAUCCUUCUAGAAAACGAUUCUGCCAUUCACUUGGUUGGGACCGCGAUCUAGAUCUUUUACUUUGAAAAAAUUAGAGUGUUUAAAGCAGGCUUUUGCUAUGAAUACAUUAGCAUGGAAUAAUAAUCUAGGACUUCGGUUCUAUUUUGUUGGUUUCUUUCACUGAAGUAAUGAUUGAUAGGGAUAGUUGGGGGUGCUAGUAUUGGCCGGCCAGAGGUGAAAUUCUUGGAUUCGGUCAAGACUAACUUAUGCGAAAGCAUU
rnacentral:rRNA from 1 species